rnacentral:lncRNA from 1 species
CCUUGCUGCAGAUUUCCAGAAGUCAAGGCCUACUGCAGUGUCCAGAAAAUCAAAGCCUUUUGUGCCAGAACCUGUCAUGGUGUCUGAGGAACCAGAAACUGUUUUAGAACCCCAAAAACUGGAGCCUUCUGCACCUCUUCGAAAACCAAAGCCUGAAGUGGCACCCAAAGAACCAGAGCUGGUUUUGGCACCAGAGGAACCACCACCAGCCAAGGUGGCCGAAAAGGAGCAGCAUGUUGCUGCUAAAAAGCGAGCAGCUGCACAGUCUAAAGUGCCUGAGAUGGCUGAGAGGACUGCUCCAGAGAAGAAAGUGCCCCCUGCUCUAUCUAAAAAAACAGAAGCUUCACUUCCUAAAGUUCCCAAGGUGCCCAAGAAAGGUGCUCUGGAAGAGCCUACACCUGUAACUGUGCCCAAACAGCCAGAAC